rnacentral:rRNA from 1 species
GACGUAGGGGGCAAGCGUUAUUCGGAAUCAUUGGGCGUAAAGCGCUCGUAGGCGGAUCGGACAGUCGGUGAAGAAAGACCCGGGCUCAACUCGGGGAACGGCACCGAUACUAUCGAUCUUGAGGCAAUCAGAGGGUGAUGGAAUUCCCGGUGUAGCGGUGAAAUGCGUAGAGAUCCGGAGGAAGACCGGUGGCGAAGGCGGUCUGCUGGGCAGUUUCUGACACUGAUGCGCGACAGCGUGAGGAGCAUACAGG